rnacentral:rRNA from 2 species
UUAAAUUGAAGAGUUUGAUCAUGGCUCAGAUUGAACGCUGGCGGCAGGCCUAACACAUGCAAGUCGAACGGUAACAGAAAGCAGCUUGCUGCUUUGCUGACGAGUGGCGGACGGGUGAGUAAUGUCUGGGAAACUGCCUGAUGGAGGGGGAUAACUACUGGAAACGGUAGCUAAUACCGCAUAACGUCGCAAGACCAAAGAGGGG